rnacentral:misc_RNA from 1 species
UCAUGCCCAGAAUCUCCGCAUUUUAAACACACUUUUGAACUCUGAAGACCACCUCUAUGUUUCUCAGGACAACGAUUUGUACGGUGGCCACUUGAUCUGCAAAUAAUGCAGACUCGUUCCUUGGAACAUUGCUUAAAACCAUGCUCCAAACUCCCACAAAGAAAGCACGGCCUUUUCUUCCUCUGAAGUGAUGGACAAUUCACCGCCAUGUGACCUUCCUUGCCACAAUUAUA